GACGAACGCUGGCGGCGUGCUUAACACAUGCAAGUCGAACGGAAAGGCCCUGCUUUUGUGGGGUGCUCGAGUGGCGAACGGGUGAGUAACACGUGAGUAACCUGCCCUUGACUUUGGGAUAACUUCAGGAAACUGGGGCUAAUACCGGAUAGGAGCUCCUGCUGCAUGGUGGGGGUUGGAAAGUUUCGGCGGUUGGGGAUGGACUCGCGGCUUAUCAGCUUGUUGGUGGGGUAGUGGCUUACCAAGGCUUUGACGGGUAGCCGGCCUGAGAGGGUGACCGGCCAAAUUGGGACUGAGAUACGGCCCAGAAUCCAACGGGAGGCAGCAGGGGGGAAUAUUGCACAAUGGGCGGAAGCCUGAUGCAGCAACGCCGCGUGCGGGAUGACGGCCUUCGGGUUGUAAACCGCUUUCGCCUGUGACGAAGCGUGAGUGACGGUAAUGGGUAAAGAAGCACCGGCUAACUACGUG
rnacentral:rRNA from 1 species